UAGCGAACUGCGUAGCAAACAGUUGGAAACUACCGACUGACAGAUUCCCGUUGCGGCUUGCACACGUUGCCUCGGCUUCUCUUGAAUUUUAUGAGAAAGGACAACGCCGCGUCUCGUCCCACAGAGGGUGUUGAAGAUGGCAGUCUGGAUUCAGGCCCAGCAGCUCCAGGGAGAUGCACUACACCAGAUGCAGUCUCUCUAUGGCCAGCACUUCCCUAUUGAGGUGCGGCACUACUUGUCCCAGUGGAUAGAGGGCCAACUCUGGGAUGUCAUAGAUUUGGAGAACCCCCUGGAGGAGUUCAAGGCUAAGCGCCUGCUUGAUAGUCUUAUCCAGGAGCUGCAGAACAAGGCCGAGCACCAGGUGGGCGAGGAUGGCUUUCUGCUCAAGAUCAAACUGGGACACUACGCCAGCCAGCUAAAGAGCACGUAUGACCGCUGUCCUCUGGAACUGGUCCGGUGCAUCAAACACAUCCUCUAUACAGAGCAGAGGCUUGUCAGAGAGGCGACUAAUUCGAGCUCUCCGGUGGGUGGGAUGAUGGACAGCAUGUCGCAGAAGUACCAGCAGAUCAACCAGGCCUUUGAAGAGCUCCGCGUGCUUACCCAGGACACCGAGAACGACCUGCGAAAGCUUCAACACAACCAGGAGUACUUCAUAAUCCAGUACCAGGAGAGCCUCCGCAUCCAGGCCCAGCUGACCAGCCUGGCCACACUGCCCCCUGCUGACAGGCAACUAAGAGAACCUGCCCUUCUCAGCAAGAGAGCUACAGUGGAGACUUGGUUGACUAGAGAGGCCAACACACUACAGAAAUACAGACUGGACCUGGCAGAGAAGCACCAGAAAACACUGCAGCUGUUGAGGAAGCAGCAAACCAUCAUCCUGGAUGAUGAGCUGAUCCAGUGGAAGAGACGGCAACAGCUGGCUGGUAAUGGGGGCCCGCCUGAGGGAGGCCUGGACAUCCUGCAGUCCUGGUGUGAAAAGUUGGCAGAGACAAUCUGGCAAAACAGGCAGCAAAUUCGAAGGGCGGAACACCUACGGCAACAGCUGCCCAUCCCUGGCCCCAUAGAGGAACUGCUUAAUGAACUCAACAGCACCAUCACAGACAUCAUCUCAGCGCUAGUCACCAGCACCUUCAUCAUUGAGAAGCAGCCUCCACAGGUGCUAAAGACUCAGACGAAGUUUGCUGCCACUGUGCGCCUCCUGGUGGGUGGAAAGCUGAAUGUGCAUAUGAACCCUCCCCAAGUCAAAGCCACCAUUAUCAGUGAACAGCAAGCCAAGUCCCUGCUGAAGAAUGAAAACACGAGGAAUGACAGCAGCGGAGAAAUUCUCAACAAUAACUGUGUAAUGGAGUACCACCAGACCACAGGGACCCUCAGCGCCCACUUCAGAAACAUGUCCUUGAAGAGGAUCAGGCGGUCCGACAGGCGAGGAGCCGAGUCCGUCACAGAGGAGAAGUUCACCAUCCUCUUUGAGUCCCAGUUUAGUGUUGGAGGCAAUGAGCUUGUCUUUCAAGUUAAGACAUUAUCACUUCCUGUAGUUGUGAUUGUACAUGGUAGCCAAGACAAUAACGCCACUGCAACCGUGCUAUGGGACAAUGCAUUUGCAGAGCCGGGACGGGUGCCCUUCCUAGUGCCUGAUAAAGUGCUGUGGCCCCAGCUAUGUGAGGCUCUCAACAUGAAGUACAAGGCUGAGGUGCAGAGCAGCCGAGGCCUGUCUGAGGAGAAUCUCGUCUUUCUGGCUCAAAAGGCCUUCACCAGCUCGAGCAACAACCCUGAUGACUACCGCAGCAUGACCAUGACCUGGUCCCAGUUUAACAGGGAGAGCCUGCCAGGGAGAAACUUCACAUUUUGGCAGUGGUUUGAUGGUGUGAUGGAACUAACGAAAAAACAUCUUAAACCGCACUGGAACGACGGGGCCAUCUUGGGCUUUGUGAACAAGCAGCAGGCUCAGGACAUGCUGAUGUCCAAACCCAACGGCACCUUCCUGCUGCGGUUUAGCGACUCUGAGAUCGGUGGAAUCACCAUUGCCUGGGUUGCAGAAAACCCGAACAAAGCAGGGGAGAGGAUGGUGUGGAACCUCAUGCCCUACACAACCAAAGACUUCUCCAUUCGCUCUCUGGCCGACCGCAUCAGCGAUCUCAAUCACCUGCUGUUCCUCUACCCGGACAGACCCAAGGAUGAAGUCUUCUCCAAAUACUACACCCCACCGUUGUCUAAAGCAGUGGAUGGCUACGUCAAACCACAGAUCAAGCAAGUAGUACCAGAGUUCGCUACUGCCAAUCCUGACCCGGCAAGUGGAAACCCCACCUACAUGGAUCACGGUGCCUCCCCUGCCCCUGUCACUCACCCCCACACCUACGGCAUAUACCCACCUAUAAAUGACUCCAUGUUGGAUGCAGACGGUGACUUUGACUUGGACGAUACCAUGGAUGUGGCCAGGCAUGUGGAGGAGCUCCUUCGGCGGCCUGUGGAGAGCCAGUGGAGUGGCCAACAGUCCUGACCUUUGACAUUUGACCCUUGAAGACACCAAAUGAACCUUGCCCCCCCACCCAAUCUCCCACACCCCUUUCAUAUCUCUCAUGGUUAAAUUCCAUUCAUUUCUCAUUAUUGUUUUUUUUUCCUGAUAGUUAUAAUGUGAAAUGUUAAUAAUGGUUGUGACUGUUUUUUGGGUUGUUUUUUUUUUGGUGGGGGGGGUCUUUUCCCGGGUUGUUUUUUUUAGCAUGAAAACAUGCAUGUCUGUGACCUCACCUGUUUUUAUUUGUGUCCAUAUGUGUAUGUAAAACAGAGUAGUCAUAAUGCGACAACUACCAUGUUACAGUAUUGUGAAUAAGAAUGAAAAGAAGACGCUCGUUCACAUUUGUGCAUGCAUUUUCAGGUUUCUGAUUUUGAACAGAGGUUUAAAAAACGCGACUGAUUGUACUGUUUUUUUUCUUCUAUUUUUGUUGUGUUCUCUUCUCUGUCAAUGGUUUUUAUCGCUGUUUUUCUUUUGAUACAGAACAUGCCCUUUGCUAAAAACACAAGAGAUUUUCACUGUCACUCUUUUACAACUUAAUCAUAGUUGUUGGGCGAGUUUCUUGUUAGCUGUUCAAGUCCAUACACACUAAAGCUAAAGGUGGAGUGACUCUCCUGUUUCUCUGUGCGCUCCAGAUGGUGUGCGUGUACACGCCUCGUUAGCAUUGCAUCGCUAUAUGAGUAUACGUUUGCUCUGAUUUGUUCACCAGCUGAAGCCGGAGGCGGGACUUGUAUGCACCUCCCUCCCCUCACAGGGCUAUCUGACUUUCUGCUAGCUGCAGAAACACAAACCUUAGCAUUUAUCUGCUUGCUCCUCUCAGGUCUCUCUUUGGCCCCCUCCCCUCUAUUGUACCCCCAUCAAAUGCUACCUCGCACUGCUCCUCUUGUCAGUCAUUGUUGUUACUCUUGUUGUAGUAAUUGUGCAACCGCCUGGUCAUUAGAUUCACCCAUGUGAGUUUGUUGUCUGAUUCUGAUGACAUGUGCAGAAGGGAUCUUUUGUUGCCCUGUGGCUGGCAGGUGUUUUUUAUGUUUUGUUUUGGUUUUUUUUUUUUUUUUUUGUGUUGGUUGUUGUAUGGUUGCAACUGCUGAAUCUGAAAAUGUCUAGCUGCACGGGGGAAAAAAAAUCAGUAUUUUAAUGUCAUCUCUCAGAUUUGUGUACUGAGCUGCUCUACUCGAUGUGAGGGUGUGCUGCUCCACCCCCACUGGCCUUUCUUUACGUGUCUGACUGCCGCCCAUCUCCCCCCGUCCCGGUGUCUCCACACCGCUAGGAAACCUGCAUGUGCACGUCCCUGAGUGUGACAACAUGGCCGACGCCCAACAAGCUGACCUCCUGAGAUCCUUGGACAGACUCCGGACCUUGGACCAGGCCCAGCCCUCUUGGAUCCUGUGUCAGCUGUAAUGCCAUAUGGCUCUCUCUCUCUCUCUCUCUCUCUCUCUCUCUCUCGGCUCCUAUUCCCAUGGGACACCAAACACAGACGUCUGGCUGAAAAUGAUGAAACUACCCCCCCUCCCCCCUUCUUAAAAACACAAACAGAAUGCAGAAUAAUUAAGAACAUGUUGUUGACCGCCUCAGAACCCUGUAGUGACGAUUUAGCAGAGCUCCACGUCUGGUCUGACCUGCAGCAGCACCGCGGGGGAACCAGACUGCGAUGGAUUCAGGCGAGCAUCGCUAUGUAUUUUGUGUUUGUCCAGCAGACUGCAGUAUUGAAAGUAUUCCCUUGUUUUCCCUUUUCAUUUGUUUCUUAAAAAAAAAACGUAGUCUUUUCUUCUUUUUUUUUAAAUCUCGCUAUUCUUUCUCUGACGUUUUUGAAAUCUCAACCUACGUGGGAAGUGAUGAUAUCCCUCAUCGACAUUAUCCUCAUUGUUUUGAACUACUUCUCACCGUAGAGACUGUGUGGUUUUUCAUGCUGUAUAUGGCGCUGUGUGCUGUUCAAUGUUUGUUCCAUGUUUGUGGUUUGGGUUUAGAACUGAACGUUUUCCAAGCGAAAUGGCUGUUGAGGUUGAAAAGACAAAAAAAUAAAAGUUUUAUAAAUA